GUCCCUGUGGCUUAGUUGGUAGAGCAUGGUGUGUCCAACGCCAGGGUUGUGGGUUCGAUUCCCACGGGGGGCC
rnacentral:tRNA from 1 species